rnacentral:rRNA from 1 species
GACGAACGCUGGCGGCGUGCCUAAUACAUGCAAGUAGAACGCUGAAGGAGGAGCUUGCUUCUCUGGAUGAGUUGCGAACGGGUGAGUAACGCGUAGGUAACCUGCCUGGUAGCGGGGGAUAACUAUUGGAAACGAUAGCUAAUACCGCAUAAUAGUAGAUGUUGCAUGACAUUUGCUUAAAAGGUGCAAUUGCAUCACUACCAGAUGGACCUGCGUUGUAUUUGCUAGUUGGUGAGGUAACGGCUCACCAAGGCAACGAUACAUAGCCGACCUGAGAGGGUGAUCGGCCACACUGGGACUGAGACACGGCCCAGACUCCUACGGGAGGCAGCAGUAGGGAAUCUUCGGCAAUGGACGGAAGUCUGACCGAGCAACGCCGCGUGAGUGAAGAAGGUUUUCGGAUCGUAAAGCUCUGUUGUAAGAGAAGAACGAGUGUGAGAGUGGAAAGUUCACACUGUGACGGUAUCUUACCAGAAAGGGACGGCUAACUACGUG